rnacentral:rRNA from 1 species
AUGCCCGACCUGCCGGCGGUGCCGGAGUGGCUGAACAAGGGCGACAACGCGUGGCAGCUGACGGCGGCGACGUUCGUGGGCAUCCAGUCCAUGCCGGGGCUGGUGGUGCUCUACGGCAGCAUCGUGAAGAAGAAGUGGGCCGUCAACUCGGCCUUCAUGGCGCUCUACGCCUACGCCUCCACGCUCAUCGUCUGGGUGCUGCUCGCCUUCCGCAUGGCGUUCGGCGACCGCCUCCUCCCGUUCUGGGGCAAGGCCGGGCCGGCGCUGACGGGGGACUUCCUCGUGGCGCGCGCGUCCUUCCCGGCCACGGCGCACUACGGCGCCGGCGGCGCGCUCGAGGUGCCCCCCACGCAGCCCUACUACCCGGAGGCCACGCUGGUGCUGUUCCAGUUCCAGCUCGCGGCCAUCACGCUGGUGCUGCUCGCCGGCGCCCUGCUGGGGCGCAUGAACAUCAAGGCGUGGAUGGCCUUCACCCCGCUCUGGCUGCUCCUCUCCUACACCGUCUGCGCCUUUAGCCUCUGGGGCGGCGGCUUCCUCUACCAUUGGGGCGUCAUCGACUACUCCGGCGGCUACGUCAUCCACGUCUCCUCCGGCGUCGCCGGCUUCACCGCUGCCUACUGGGUGGGGCCGAGGCUGAAGAGUGACAGGGAGAGAUUCGCGCCCAACAACAUCCUGCUCAUGAUCGCCGGCGGCGGGCUGCUGUGGCUGGGCUGGGCCGGGUUCAACGGCGGCGCGCCGUACGCCCCGAACAUCAUCGCGUCCAUCGCGGUGCUCAACACCAACGUCAGCGCCGCGGCGAGCCUCCUCACGUGGACCUGCCUGGACGUCGUCUUCUUCGGCAAGCCGUCCGUGAUCGGCGCCGUGCAGGGCAUGAUGACGGGCCUCGUCUGCAUCACCGCCGGCGCAGGGCUGGUGCACACGUGGGCGGCGGUGCUGAUGGGCAUCUGCGCCGGCAGCGUGCCGUGGUUCACCAUGAUGGUCCUCCACAAGCGCUCCUCCCUCCUCCAGAAGGUGGACGACACCCUCGCCGUGUUCCACACCCACGCCGUCGCCGGGCUCCUCGGCGGCGUCCUCACGGGGCUCCUCGCCACCCCGGAGCUCACCACCCUGCACACCCACGUCCCGGGCACGCGCGGCGCCUUCUACGGCGGUGGCAUCCAGCAGGUGGGCAAGCAGCUGGCCGCGGCGCUCUUCGUCGUCGCGUGGAACGUCGUGGUCACCACGGGCAUCAUCCUCGCCGUGGGCCUCGUCAUCCCGCUGCGGAUGCCCGACGAGCAGCUCAGGAUCGGCGACGACGCAGCGCACGGCGAGGAGGCCUACGCGCUCUGGGGCGACGGCGAGCGGUUCGACGUGUCACGGCGCGCGGCAGCGAGGGCCACCGAGGUCGGCGACCAGUCGGUGGACCAGCGUCUGGCAGCCAUGGGAGCUAGAGGUAUCACCGUUCAGUUGUAG